rnacentral:rRNA from 1 species
CCUACGGGAGGCAGCAGUAAGGAAUAUUGGUCAAUGGACGAAAGUCUGAACCAGCCAUGCCGCGUGAAGGAUUAAGGCCCUCUGGGUUGUAAACUUCUUUUAUCUGGGACGAAAAAAGGGUAUUCUUACUCACUUGACGGUACCAGAGGAAUAAGCACCGGCUAACUCCGUGCCAGCAGCCGCGGUAAUACGGAGGGUGCAAGCGUUAUCCGGAUUUACUGGGUUUAAAGGGUGCGUAGGUGGGCUUGUAAGUCAGUGGUGAAAUCUCCGGGCUUAACUCGGAAACUGCCAUUGAUACUAUAGGUCUUGAAUUAUCUGGAGGUAAGCGGAAUAUGUCAUGUAGCGGUGAAAUGCUUAGAUAUGACAUAGAACACCAAUUGCGAAGGCAGCUUACUACGGAUAUAUUGACACUGAGGCACGAAAGCGUGGGGAUCAAACAGGAUUAGAUACCCUGGUAGUCCACGCCCUAAACCGAUGGAUACUCGACAUCAGCGAUACACUGUUGGUGUCUGAGCGAAAGCAUUAAGUAUCCCACCUGGGAAGUACGAUCGCAGAUUGAAACUCAAAUGAAUUGACGG